GACGGAAGGUGCAAGCGUUGCUCGGAAUCAUUGGGCGUAAAGGGUGCGUAGGCGGCCGUGCAAGUCUGGCGUGAAAGCCCCGGGCUCAGCCCGGGAAGUGCGCUCGAAACUGCGCGGCUCGAGUGCCGGAGGGGAGAGUGGAAUUCCUGGUGUAGCGGUGAAAUGCGUAGAUAUCAGGAGGAACACCAAUAGCGAAGGCAGCUCGCUGGGACGGUACUGACGCUGAGGCGCGAAAGCGUGGGGAGCGAACAGG
rnacentral:rRNA from 1 species